CUGGGGUCCCAAGGGCAGUCCAGACAACCUGAACCUGUGACACUCACCCUGCCCACACACUCUCAGAGCUGCAGCUUUCACGGGGGUGACAUGAAUGCUUGUAAAUGAGCUUGCUGAAUGGGAGACCAAGAACGAUGAUAUUGAGCUGUUACUACAUGCCAGACAUUUAACCCUUUCAUCCAGGUUAUCUCAAUCAUUCCUUACAGAAAGGCUUUUGAGAUGUCCUUGCAACUGGAGGUGCCAUAUGAUACAGUUCUGCCCAAAGACAAGAAAGUGAAUGUCUGUUGAGGGCUUCCUAUAAGGCCAAUACAUACAGGUGUUCCCAACAACAGAGACCCAGGAGUCCAUGUUAAAAGUGUCCUAAAGAGGAGGUAAAGGCUAAGGAAUUUGAGAACCCUAAGAUUUUCUUUGAAAUUCUGUGGAGAUGAUGCUAAGAGGAUCACUUAUAAAUGCUUAUUGGAUGUAAUUUCCAUGUUGGACAGGUGAUAUUUC
rnacentral:lncRNA from 1 species